GCUUACGGCCAUACCACCCUGAAAACGCCCGAUCUCGUCCGAUCUCAGAAGCUAAGCAGGGUCGGGUCUGGUUAGUACUUGGAUGGGAGACCGCCUGGGAAUACCAGGUGCUGUAAAUA
rnacentral:rRNA from 1 species